UGUACCAGUAAUACAAAACGCUUAAUAACGUUUGAAACCGCAACCAUCCACAUCCGCAAAAUCCCGCAUCCGCAACCGCAACUGCUGCGUUUAAACCAGUCGGGCCCUUAGUCGUUUAAAUGACAAAUGAUGGGGAGUUAUUGGAAUAUCAAUGUGGCGUUUUUAGAAAGUAUUUCUGUGGACCAUGUAUGAUCAUGGGAGAUACUUAUAUAGUGUAUAUCUUUAUAUAUAAAAUACUGUUUAAUCACUCCUUAGUGCGCCACCUAGGAUUCCAAGUCAUUAAGUCGUCUCCUAACGUUGCGACACGUGUGCGUUGAAGCCAAAACAUAUCGUAUCAUUUAUUUAGGUAUCUGGUGGGCUUUAAUCGUUGCGAAAUCAGGGCUGGGGAUGGGCUUUAUCGUUACACGUGUAUAUGACGUUUACAUGCCAUUUUACCUUAAUGAUGCUUGAAGUCAUGAUUGUAAGAUAAAGAGUGAUUCACUAAUGUUCUGUAUUUGCGUAUUUGUAGCAAGGAUAAUGCUGUGAAGAACAUGUUUAAGCGACGUUGUUGUAAGAAGAGAGCCAAGUAUGAAACGAUGGACAACAAGAAGAGCCCAAACAAGAAUAUAAUAUUGUUCUUAGACGGUUGUACUACUCCAGUAAAGACGAAUAUGAAAAUUAUAUUGCCAAGAGAACAAGGAGCUUGCUCCAUAUAAGGGAUUGAGCUGAGGAUGAAGCGAGAAGAAAAAGAGAGCAGGAUGUGUUA